rfam:Glycine soja cultivar W05 scaffold1700_4, whole genome shotgun sequence.
UUUUGAUUGAAUGAUGACUGUCAUGUGUCAAGUUCUGAUUGGAUGUUGACUCCAUGGAUGAUGAAAAUGUAUUGUUGUUAUUCGCGUCUAAUCAGAACAUGACAUGUGACAGUUAUCGUCC